CGCCACCCCUCUCCCUUCGCCCAACGCCCUCCCCGCGCCGCCUCGCUUCUUUUGCGAUCUAGAGAUGUCCGUGGCGGCGGAGAUCCCUCCCAGGCUCCCAGCCCUCUCGCGCCACCACUCCGUCCGGUAGAAAAGGAGGAAUACUUGGCGAGCAUGAUGAUCCUUAGCGGGUACAUCCGCUCUUGUCCCGCUUGUCCAUCAAUUUGGAAGCGACGAGGCGGAUGUAGCAGCCAAGAAGCAUCGCCUUCGCCUGACCUCAACGCGCCACCUGCAAGGUCUCCCUCCUUCCCACCUCCUCCUGACCCAACCCGUUGUCUCGCUCGUCCUCCGGCCCUGACCCGGUUGUUGCCAAUUUGAUUAGCGAUUGUGCGGAUGCCCCGUGUUCCAGUCUGUAGUCAGAAGUAUUCCACCCCAGCUUCCCCGCGCCUCCUUUCCCUCAUGCUUUCAUUGGAUAAUUUGAAAUUGGGAUCUGGUUAAUCUGUUUGUGCGAGGGAAUUUGUGAGUAGUUGAUUUGAUGGUCUGGUUACACAGUAGCCCUAAAAUAAUCAGAUUAAAACGACGGGGGAGACUCAUGCCCUCUGUAUCUCCACUCCUCCACUAUGUAUGUUCUUAUUGCUGAUUCAACACGGGAUCGGUGUGGAAAAGCACUAGCAAUUUUGGCAGUUGGAUUGGCUGUUUUAGGCGUUCCUUGCCAUUAGAUGCGUUGGUCAAUGCACGCAUGGGCCGCGGAUCAUCUUCCGCUCCAGAAUGGGAGACGGACUGGGCUGACGCCGUUAGUGCCGCUAUUCCCGCUGCUUGCCUUCCAUCUGCUCAGCCACCGCCACCGCCCCCGCCCUGUCCUCCACCACGUACUGUAAAAAAGCCAAAAAGAAAAUCGCCAACCUUUUUAAUUUCUUCUCGUACUCCCAUGAUCAGCACGAAGAUGAGCGGGCGACGGAUCCACGUGGGCGAGGAGGUGUCGCUGAUAGUCAGGGCGUGCCGGCUGGGAUUCGGGAGCAGAUCCUCGAGGCGACCUAACCGCUGGCCGCUGCGGUGCCUCAUCGGCUAGGGCAUCUGGUGACCUCGGUUGCAACACGACAGCGAUGACCACGACAAUUGCCUUGCUCCUAUUUCCGGGCGAUGGAUAUGACCCCUAUGUGACUCUCAGCUUCACCAUCAGCCAAAAUCUGGAUGCAUCCCAUCUUUGAUCCUCCUGCACUCCUCGCCCCCUUGUAAGGUUUCAUUGCGAGGUCUGAUUUUUUUCAGAAUUUAAUUUGGUUCCUUCAUCUCCUUUCCUAAGUUUUGGAUUUGCCACAAUGAUUUCCUUCUCAUACAAUUUUAGUAAGACCAUCGCAUCGAUUGAUUGGUUAGGAGGAGGCCAGCAUCCAACAAGACAUGGUGCAGCAAAAUUAUCUAAUCAGUGUUGGAUGCAGCAGUCGAUUGUUAUUUCCAUUGAACCGCUGCCUGGAUUGUUACCGAGCUAACGAAGGAUGUCCAUGGAACUCACUGGUACCUGUGCCCAUAGGGUUGCCAUCCAUAUUGUGGAGUUGCAGAAGGUAGAGAAAAUAUCUACUUCAGACUUCAUUCCCUCUUGUGAUUAGGGUAGUGAGUUUUUUAUUCUUGCAAAAAUGACAUGAUCGAGAUAUCAAUAGUAAUGGAUUUUGUCUUGGUGUGUUUGUGCUAAAAACGUGCUCUUAUCAA